AGCGCAGGCGGUUUGAUAAGUCUGAAGUAAAAGGCUGUGGCUUAACCAUAGUAUGCUUUGGAAACUGUCAAACUUGAGUGCAGAAGGGGAGAGUGGAAUUCCAUGUGUAGCGGUGAAAUGCGUAGAUAUAUGGAAGAACACCAGUGGCGAAGGCGGCUCUCUGGUCUGCAACUGACGCUGAGGCUCAAAGCGAAUGGGUAGCGAACA
rnacentral:rRNA from 1 species